UGGGAUAUAGCCAAAUUGGUAAGGCACCUGACUCUGAAUCAGGCAAUUACAGGUUCGAACCCUGUUAUCCCAA
rnacentral:tRNA from 1 species